CGCGUAGGCGGUUUUUAAGUCAGAUGUGUAAUCCCCGAGCUUAACUUGGGAACUGCAUCUGAGACUGGAAGGCUAGAGUACUGGGAGGGUGGUGGAAUUCCUCGUGUAGCGGUGAAAUGCGUAGAGAUGAGGAGGAACACCAGUGGCGAAGGCGGCCACCUGGACAGUAACUGACGCUGAGGCGCGAAAGUGUGGGUAGCAAACAGGAUUAGAUACCCUGGUAGUCCACGCUGUAAACGAUGAACACUUGGUGUGGAGGGAGUUGACCCCUUCCGUGCCCGGAGCUAACGCGUUAAGUGUUCCGCCUGGGGAGUACGGUCGCAAGGCUGAA
rnacentral:rRNA from 1 species